AAGACACCCCUAUGGGGCGUAAACUCCUUUUUUGCGCGAAGAAACCCCUGUUGUUCAGGGCGUGACGGUACCGCAGGAAUAAGGACCGGCUAACUCCGUGCCAGCAGCCGCGGUAAUACGGAGGGUCCAAGCGUUGUCCGGAAUCCCUGGGCGUAAAGGGUGUGCAGGUGGGGCAGCAAGUCAGAGGUGAAAGCCCGUGGCUUAACCCCGGACGUGCCUUUGAAACUGCUGCUCUUGAGUCCCGGAGAGGUUGCCGGAAUUCGUGGUGUAGCGGUGAAAUGCGUAGAUAUCACGAGGAACCCCAGAGGCGAAAGCGGGCAACUGGACGGGUACUGACACUGAGGCACGAAAGCGUGGGGAGCAAACAGGAUUAGAUACCCUGGUAGUCCGCGCCGUAAACGAUGGAUGCUCGCCGUUACCUCGCUCAAGGGGUAGUGGCUAAGCUAACGCG
rnacentral:rRNA from 1 species